rnacentral:antisense_RNA from 1 species
ACCAGUCGCGUGCUGGUCUUGUGAAGGAAAUCCCGGCGGGCGUCGCGGACCUUGCGAUGUGCCCGUGCGACCUUGGCCCUGGCUUUGGCCCGGUUCGCGCUGCCGCGUUGUUUGCGGGCCAUGCGCCGCUGGUAACGGGCCAGGUUGCGGGCCUUGCGCUCCAGGUGACGCGGGUUGGCGAUCUUCUCGCCGCCGCUGGUGACGGCGAAGUCCUUCACCCCGAGAUCCACGCCGACCGCGGUCCCGGUCGCCGGGGCCUGCUCGGGGUCGGCCACGUCCACGGCGAGGGAGACGUACCAGCGCCCGUCCGGGUCGCGGGAGACCGUCACGGUGGAGGGGUCGAUCGUGGCCGGGUCCAUGUCCGGCCACGACCACACGAACUCCAGCGGUGUGUCCGUCUUCGCCAGCCACAGACGGCCAUCGCGCCAACGGAACCCGCUACGGGUGUACUCGGCGCUCUGACGACCGGUCCGGGACUUGAAGCGCGGGUAGCGGGCGCGGCCCUCGAAGAAGUUGACGAACGCCCGCUGCUGGGUGCGCAGCACCUGUUGCAGCGGGACCGAGGACACCUCGUUCAGCCAGGCGAACUCCUCGG